AGGUGCAGUAUGGCUUUCCGCGGAUGUAGAAUUCCCGCGAGGUGCCGUUUAGUAUAUAGAUGUGAGAUGGAUUUCUGUUCUGGAUACUGGCCAGCAUUUACAUUAUCAGUAUGGUGUCUUAUCCUGCAUAUGCAUGUGACAGCGGAGAGUUGUUGCUGGUUCGCCUGGGGCGUAAAACCCACCUCCCGACAGCUGUCUAGUAUUUAUAUUAUCGAUAUGGUGUCUUAUCCUGCAUAUGCAUGUGACAGUAGGGAGUUGUUGCUGGUUCGCCUGGGGCGUAAAACCUACCUCCCGACAGCUGUCUAGUGAUGAUUUACAUAUUGGUGUGGUGUCAUAUUCGAUGUAU
rnacentral:lncRNA from 1 species